rfam:Pteropus alecto contig96323, whole genome shotgun sequence.
GGCUCCAUAGUGUAGUGGUUAGCACAUCUGCUUUACACACAGAAGGUCCUGGGUUCGCACUCCAGGUAGAGCCA